GCGGGAGUACCCAAGCGGCCAACGGGGCAGGACUCAAGAUCCUGUGGCUUAGUGCCUUCGUAGGUUCGAAUCCUACCUCCCGCA
rnacentral:tRNA from 1 species